AUUGAACGCUGGCGGCAUGCCUUACACAUGCAAGUCGAACGGUAACGGGCCUUCGGGUGCCGACGAGUGGCGAACGGGUGAGUAAUAUAUCGGAACGUACCUUUCAGUGGGGGAUAACGUAGCGAAAGUUACGCUAAUACCGCAUAUUCUGUGCGCAGGAAAGCAGGGGACCUUCGGGCCUUGCGCUGAUUGAGCGGCCGAUAUCAGAUUAGCUAGUUGGUGAGGUAAAGGCUCACCAAGGCGACGAUCUGUAGCGGGUCCGAGAGGAUGAUCCGCCACACUGGAACUGAGACACGGUCCAGACUCCUACGGGAGGCAGCAGUGGGGAAUUUUGGACAAUGGGGGCAACCCUGAUCCAGCCAUGCCGCGUGAGUGAAGAAGGCCUUCGGGUUGUAAAGCUCUUUCGGCCGGAAAGAAAUCGCACGGGCUAAUACCCUGUGUGGAUGACGGUACCGGAAUAAGAAGCACCGGCUAACUACGUGCCAGCCGCCGCCGUAAUAC
rnacentral:rRNA from 1 species